GACGAACGCUGGCGGCGUGCUUAACACAUGCAAGUCGAACGGAAAGGCUCCAGCUUGCUGGAGUACUCGAGUGGCGAACGGGUGAGUAACACGUGGGUAAUCUGCCCUGCACUCUGGGAUAAGCCUGGGAAACUGGGUCUAAUACUGGAUAUGACCUUUCUCCUUAUGGGGUUUGGUGGAAAGUUUUUCGGUGUAGGAUGAGCCCGCGGCCUAUCAGCUUGUUGGUGGGGUGAUGGCCUACCAAGGCGACGACGGGUAGCCGGCCUGAGGGGGUGAUCGGCCACAUUGGGACUGAGAUACGGCCCAGACUCCUACGGGAGGCAGCAGUGGGGAAUAUUGCACAAUGGGCGGAAGCCUGAUGCAGCGACGCCGCGUGAGGGAUGACGGCCUUCGGGUUGUAAACCUCUUUCAGCAGGGACGAAGCGUAAGUGACGGUACCUGCAGAAGAAGCACCGGCUAACUACGUG
rnacentral:rRNA from 1 species